AUUGAACGCUGGCGGCAGGCCUAACACAUCCAAGUCGAGCGCCCCGCAAGGGGAGCGGCAGACGGGAGAGUAACGCGUGGGAACGUGCCCUUUGGUUCGGAACAACCCAGGGAAACUUGGGCUAAUACCGGAUAAGCCCUCACGGGGAAAGAUUUAUCGCCGAAGGAUCGGCCCGCGUCUGAUUAGCUAGUUGGUGGGGUAAUGGCCCACCAAGGCGACGAUCAGUAGCUGGUCUGAGAGGAUGAUCAGCCUCACUGGGACUGAGACACGGCCCAGACUCCUACGGGAGGCAGCAGUGGGGAAUAUUGGACAAUGGGCGCAAGCCUGAUCCAGCCAUGCCGCGUGGGUGAUGAAGGCCCUAGGGUUGUAAAGCCCUUUCGGCGGGGAAGAUAAUGACGGUACCCGCAGAAGAAGCCCCGGCUAACUUCGUGCCAGCCGCCGCGGUAA
rnacentral:rRNA from 1 species